rnacentral:lncRNA from 1 species
UCAGAUUUCACGUAAUUAAACAUAUAAGCUUUCCGGCUAUGCACCCGGACAUCGCACGUAAAUUGAUGAAACUAAAAGUAAGGUUUUCAAGGCCUCGAAAGCACGAAAAAGAUAGAAAAACACACAAAAGGAAAGGAGAUGGACCUGAAUUAUAGCUCUCCAAUUAAUAUAAUUUCAGCAGUAGUAACUCUGAAUCGAGCGGGUUCGAAAUAAAGAAAACCAACAGAAUCAUCAAACAUAGACAACGAGCUUAAGUCUUCUAUUUCAAAGCUCGAACAACAGACAAUGACUUAAACCAAAACGCGACGCAACUGGAACCUUGGAUGACCGCGAUCGAUUAAAGGACUGACCGAACCUAGCCGGAUUUUUGGAACUCGAACUUUGAUUGUGAUUGCGUAGCGAUGGUAUUGAACAUCAAUCCUAGCUAAUUCAAAACAUGAUAAAGAAGAAGAUGAUUGACAGGGUCGUUUUUAGUUGCUGCUGUGAGAAGACAAAGUCAAAAAGGGUGGGGCGCGUGCAUUUUUCCGGCGAGUUUAACCGCUGGCGGGGCAGAUUCAGAUGGUGGGCGUUGUUAUGGCUGCUGGAGAGCCUACGGCGCCAUUGGAGGUAAAGCAGCUGCGACGUAUGGCGUUUUGGACGAAGGGGGUUGCUCGUUGAUGGGAUCUGCGUUAGAUUUGUGUUCUAGGGUCUUUGGUUGUGUCUUGGUUGAAGGUCAAAAAUGGCAGCCAUUUUUUUUCAAGUUGUCUUCUUAAGGUUUUUUGUGUGAUGUGUAGGUUGAAGAAGAAAAAGAUGAUGAAAAAAGGGUUACUAGGGUUAAGGAGAAGUCUUGAAAUUGGGCCUUGUUGGGGGGUUUGAAAUUGGGCUCCAUUUAGACAAGAAAAUUGAAGACUUUAUUGAUAAAUUCAAGUUUCUUUCAAAUUGGUAUAAAAAACUUGUAAAACAUAAUAUCAUUCCUAAUUGAUUAAGUAAAAUAUAAAAUUAAAAGUGAAGCUAUUUUUUGCAUUUUCAAAUAUUAU